GCCUUCGUGGUGCAGUGGUCAGCACGCUGGGCACGUAUUCGAGAAGUCCGUGGUUCGAGUCCAAGCGAAGGCG
rnacentral:tRNA from 1 species